GCACAGUUCCUUUGUUACAAGGUGGUCCAUUUCGAUGUCCUCCUGCUGUUGUGGGGCUUGUCCUUUAUAUUGGUGGGGGGCUGGCUCCUGGUCCGUUGCUUGCGCUUGUUUAUAUUAUGGUGACUGCUGAUUGGCUGUGGGUGGGGAGCUCGGGCCAGGACCGCUCUCCGGACACAUGCGCGGCCCGGGGCAGCCUCGGGACUGAGUUCUUGGCAACUCACAUUGAGUGCUGACGAAGCGCAAAUGUGAUUAGCGCCGGAUCUUGUGAUUUGAUCGGGACAUAUACUUAACAGCGGACAGCUCUAGCCAUGACCAUGCCCCAGAAGAAGCCUCCCUGAGUGGUGAAACGUCGGGCAGUGGCGUCCUGCACUCGGUCUGCAUUGUCUGAUGAGCGAAUCGAAGUUGACGAACCUGAAUUCGUAACGAAUUUCAUGAAAAAUUUGAAUAUCACCGCGAUUCUAUUGUGCGAAUCGCUUCAUUUAACUCCAUUUUACAGCGUUCCAGGCUAUUGGGGACCUAAGAUGGCGGAUCCACAUAUGCCUGCUGGUAUUUAUAUGCACACAGAGGUAUCUAAAGAAAGAAUCCAAGGAACAAUGGCUUUUUCCGAGUGGUCCAAAAAAUUAUCCUUUUUGGAAGGAACAAGUUUUGUGCCUAGAAAGUGAAGAAGCAAAAUGUGAAAAAUGAUUCCCGUAAUGUGGCAAAGCAACAGGACUGGCAUCCUAGAAAGUGCACAAAAGUGACACAAAACCCUCUCUACUUUUUCACAGUGUAAUACAAAACAAAACUGCCACAAUUAACUUCCCAUCAAACUGAUUUUGUAGAACAAAUGCAGGAUGCUUUCUGCAGUGCUGCGUUACUACAAUUAUUAUAUAUGUGUGGUUCUACUCCUUAGUGUUCCUCAGAGAGAUCAUAUCCUAACACAUGCUCUCUUAAAAAUGGCUCAAGAAGCUAUGUGCAUAGACUUUUAUACUGGUUACGACAUCACCCCAAUAUUGCCUUCUGAUUGUCUGGGACAGUUUCUUGAAUAGCAUUAUGGGAUCCUUUUAGGUCAUGUGAUACUGUAGCAGGUUCUGUCGAACCGAGGUUUGAGUUCUAGCCAAAUUGAACUAUUAGCAAAGUUCUGACUGAACUCUGGUUCUACAGGUUUAUUUAUUUCAUUUCUAGUUGAGACAAAAGGUAGAAAGUGCUUUAAUUCAAAAACUUUUUAUAUGUUGUACAUCUUGGCAAAACAUUAACCUUUCUAAUAUACUUCAUAAGAAAAUGUUAUUUCCUUUUUUAUUGAAAUCAAGGCUUAUAAAAUCAUUACUUUCUCCAAGCUGAAGCACAGACAUAGACAAAGUCCAGUAUGUGAGGGUGGGCUAGUACUCCUCUGUGCUCUCUCUCCUGUCUGAGAGGACUCCUCUGCACUCUCUCCUGUCUGAUAGUACUCCUCUGUGCUCUCUCCUGUCUGAAAGUACUUCUCUGUGCUCUCUCCUGUCUGAUAGGACUCCUCUGCACUCUCUCCUGUCUGAUAGUACUCCUCUGUGCUCUCUCCUGUCUGAUAGUACUCCUCUGUGCUCUCUCAUGUCUGAUAGUACUCUUCUGUGCUCUAU